rnacentral:rRNA from 1 species
UACGUAGGGUGCAAGCGUUAAUCGGAAUUACUGGGCGUAAAGCGUGCGCAGGCGGUUCUAUAAGACAGAUGUGAAAUCCCCGGGCUCAACCUGGGAACUGCAUUUGUGACUGUAGAGCUGGAGUACGGUAGAGGGGGAUGGAAUUCCGCGUGUAGCAGUGAAAUGCGUAGAUAUGCGGAGGAACACCGAUGGCGAAGGCAAUCCCCUGGACCUGUACUGACGCUCAUGCACG